UAUGAAUAUUUACGGAAAAUGAACGAUGACUGCCCGUUUUUUGCUUUUAACCAAGAAUCUUGAUUGUAUUAUGUUCAUAUCUAAAGAAAUUUUGCAAUUUAAGCAUUUAUUUACAAGAAUUUUCAAACUGAAAAGCUCUUUGUUUUGUGACGGCCGCCAUGUUGGAUUACACAAUACCGUUACUGUGGCUUGAAAUGUUUACGUAAAAUUAACGAUAACUGGCUGUUUUUUUCUUUUAAUCAAGAAUCUUGACUGUAUUGUGUUCAUAUCUGAAGAAAAUCUGCGAUUUAAGCAUUUAUUUAGAAGAAUUUUCAACUUAAAAUGCUCUUUGUUUUGUGAUGGCCGCCAUGGUGGGUUUUGUGUCUCUACACAAUAGUGGAAUUCAACCUAAAUGAGUUGUGAUUUGUCAGGUACGAGACGGAGAAACCAGUUUCACAGACACAGGAUUUUAUUGAUGUUGAGAGGCAAAGGAAACAAUCAGGUCAAGCGGUAAUGGCUAGUUGGCAUGUUUUCGUGCCUUAUAUACUGUUCUCAGUUGUUCUUUGUGACAUCUUAAAGAGUACACAGUCUUUGUGAUGGAAGCUUUGUGAUGCAUGAGUGUGAUGCAAUAUGCUGGCAUAAUGCUGGUACAUUGGUACAUGACAGCGAUUGUAUAAAUAAAAGUGAAACUUUUGCUUUUGUUGUGUAAAAUUAAUGGGAUUCUGCAUGCUUUUAACUUUCUGAUGUGAAAAUUGAGUGAUUUAUUAGCUGUUGAAAAUUAAGCUGCUAUUUUGGGCAAAAACUUAUAUGUUAAAUGUUGCUAUUGAUCCUGAAAAUAUCGGUGAUUAUCUCUGCAUUUGGUGAUUUUUGUGCAUCUAGCGUAAAAUUGGAGAAUUUUAUAGCCAUUUUAAGUUUUGUUAUAUUAAAAAAAUUAUCGGGAUUUUAUUAGGGAACAACUUUGAAUUUUUGGAUGUUGCUGCUCAUGGACUCUCAUACAGUGCUGCUCAAAAGUUUGUGAACCCCCUCAACAUUUUGGAAUUUUCUAUUAUUUCAACCUGAUUUCCUAAUCAAUCAAUUCAGUAAUUUUUUUUUGUUUUUUUUAACAGUUGUGUUGUCGAGACUAAAUUAAAAAGAGUUUUCAUCAACUGAUGUAGGUGCAAAAUUGAACUGUUUGGUCACAACCAAAACCGCCAUGUCUGGCGAAAAGUCAACACUGCAUACCACCAAAAGAACCUUCUCCCAACAGUGAAGCAUGGAGGUGGGAAUGUCAAGAUCUGGGCUUGCUUUUCAUCCUCAGGACCUGGACAACUCCACAUAGUCCAGGGAAUCAUGAAUUCUGAGGAAUAUUGUCAAAUCCUAGAACAUAACCUGACGCCAUCUGUUUUGAAGUUAAAGCUUGGCAGAAGGUGGAUCAUGCAACAUGAUAAUGAUCCAAAGCAUUCCAGCAAUACAACCAAGGAAUGGUUGAAAAAGAAGAAGAUUCGUGUUCUGGACUGGCCCAGUCAAAGUCCUGACCUAAAUCCCAUUGAAAUGCUGUGGCGGGACCUGAAGCGAGCAGUUCAUGCCAGACGCCCAUCAAACCUCUCUCAACUGACUGCGUUCUGCAAGGAAGAAUGGGCAAAAAUCCCCCAAAGUAGAUGUGAGAGGCUGAUUAGUCACUACAGAAACCGUUUGGUUGAGGUAAUCUCUGCAAAAGGAGGCGCAAUAUCCUAUUAACUGAAGGGGUUCACAUACUUUUGCACACAUGAUAUCUGAGUUUUUCUUAAAUCAACCACUUUUGUUAAAUAAAGAAUGACAAUAUAACUAUUUCUUUUGUUUCAGUCCAUUAUUUGGAAUGUCAGUAUUGUGGAUUUGGGUAUAACUUAACAUUUAAUAAGGUUAUUUUAGUUUUUUUUACAAAAAAUCUGACCCUCGCUGUGGGGUUCACAAACUUUCGAGCAGCACUGUAUAUGCCUAAGGGAGGUGCCUGUUUUGGUUUUCGGUCGCUACUGGCUUUGGUUUAGAAUUUUUCAGUUUUUGAAAAUAGGCCCGCUACGGAUCGGCCCCUAGACCCGAGUCGCAUCAAGUGAUAGUGAAGUCCAUGAUCGGUUGCCGGCAAAUCACUGGGCACAAGGAGACAAGCAAUCAGUCACGUGCACACUCACUCCCAGAAACAAUUUAGAGUGUUCAAUCAGCCUUCCAUGCAUGUUUUUGGGAUGUGGGAGGUAACCGGAGGACCUGGAGAAAGCUCAAGCAGGCAUGUGGAGAACAUGCAAACUCCACACAGGAACAACUUGAUCCCAGAACAGUGAGGCGAUGUGCUAAUAUUUCAUCCACCUUGCCACCUAAAAUAUCAUCAUAUUGGAUUCCGUUUUAUCAUUAAUUUAGACCACAUGAACAUUGCUCAAGAGACCAAUCUUUACGCUCCCUGGCAAAUUGAAACCAUUCCCCUUGAGGCUCACGGAUAAGUAGUUAAGGCUACACAACAGUUCAUUUCCAAUCAGCUGUGACUUUGAAUUAUAGGCAGGAAACAACGCCUCGCCAGAUGCAGAGUAGUUAAUUUUUUAUUAUAUAUUUAUCCACUGAUUUCAAAAUCACUGAGCUCUUUUAUCGUUUUUAUUUUGUCAUUGAUUCUGCACCACUAAAUUUGUUCACUAGUUUUUUUUAAUUUUUUUUUUAUAAUACUGUAUGCCUUUGUUGUGAACAGCGAAGAGCAGUUCUGUUAAUCUGUUCAGCUACAUUUGAUUUCAGAUGUGGUUUUAACUCUUUGAUGCACAGCAGGGGUUAAAAGUGACCCGGCUGAGUUUUUAUUUUCUAUAUCUCUGCAAUUCAUUAAUUUCAGGAGUAUUGUUACACACCGCCGUCAGCGAUGUUGAUUUAUGUUGGUUUUCAUCCUGUUUUAUUUUGGUGGGUUCCUCUGUGUUAAGUUUUCCUUGCCAUGUUUUUGUUCCAAGUAUGCACUUCCAAAGAUCUUUGUUUCCUACUUGUGUUUUCUUUUGGACUUUGAAGCUGGCCUGUGUCACAUGGCAGAAAAAUAAACCUUUCAUUGAAACCUUCAUUCCUCUUCUCGUCUUGUGCGUUUGAGUCCAGCUGCGUGUGCCCCCAAUCACGACAAGUAUUCAAGAUAACUCCACAAUGGACAAACACAGGAACUGCAAGGAGGAAUGUCAACAGCAAUCAGUCAAUCCAACUAUGCUCUGCUUCAAGUCAUGGGGAUCAAGGGCAGCUCGACAGUUUUCAUCUCUUGAGCAGGUAACACAGAAGCACCACCUGGCCUAAUGACCCUGCUCCUUAACACACAGCAGGAUUUUGGCUUGUGCAGCCUAAGAUCAGCUGUGAGACGCGUUGUUUGUUGCAUCAUCAAACUCAACUGCAUGGUGAUGGUUGGGUUAGGUCAGCAGCACAUUAAUGGUGUUGGAUUUCCAUUGAUGCCGUAGUGAGAAGAUGCAAAUGUGGAAAAAAAUUUACUCUGGAAAACACCUAAGUUCCAAGAACAAAGAAGGAGAAUAAUGGCAAGCACUGUGAUCCCCUGUCAGGUUUUUGAAAGCAUCAUAGAAGAUGACAAGACUAAUCUGUAUCCUGUUUUUGUCAUCCAACUUGAAGCAUCAGACGCUGUCCAGUACACUGACUGCAUUGUGGUCAGUAUUUGGCAGGAUUUUGCACUUUACCUUAAAUGUUGUAAAUUUAGUAAAGUAUUCAAGGUUCAGCGAUUAUUUCAGUGUGCUUACAAUGCAGUGGAACUGGGGGGGAAAAAUAUGGUUUGCGAGUCCUCACAUGCUCGUCUUCUGAUUUGGUGCUUUGUUAUCUCGUCGCACGACAAUAGCAAUGCAAACAUAGUGAAACAACCAUUCAAACCAAUGUACAAUUUUGUUGUUGUUAAUUAGUUUUAUGCAAAUUCCAACAAAAUUCUAAUUAAAAAAAAAAGGGUGGGGUGGGCGACCGAAAGUAUAUGCUUGCAAGGGUAAUUUCUGAGGGCGAGGUUGACAGAAACAACAUAUAAGCCGUAUUGUUAAAUGAUCAUCAGCUGCAUUGUUACUUUCAUAUCUUAAAACCUACAGCUUACUAAGCCGAAUUCAUUUACAAUGGUGACAUUGCUGUCGCCAUACUUAUGUAAUUGCUCGCAUAUGGGCCUGCUCGCUGAUAUAACAGCCAUGGAAGUUUGUUGAACUUUGUUUAAAAGGAUUAUUGGGAAGGGAAAAAAGUGCCUGGUCUUGACAGAUAAACAAGCAGGCAAUUGCAGGAGGGUGGUGAGGAGAUUAGUUUUGUUUUCAGUCAUUUGUUUCAAAAUGUCUGGCUACCCAGUGCACUCAAGCACUAAAAAUUCUUAAUUAUAACAAAUGUUUAGAUGAUAGCAAAAACUUCUUGUUGCGAACGAUAAUCAUUAAGUUGGCUUGAGUUACACUAUUAAGAGGGCAAUGUGGGUGUUUCAGAUUAGGUACUCAUGGAAUGACUAGCCACAGUGUACAAUAGGAUACGAGCAGUGCCUACUUCAGUAUCAUUGAAUGGACGCCAUCCCAUAACAUAGUUUUUUUUACAGUAUUUGUGUUUGCAGCAACUGUUUAAGAUGAACAGAUUCUAUUUUGGUAGCCCAUGCACAACUAAUGCACAUUUAUUCAUGUAAUAUUAAUUAUUUUUAGAAAUACAGACCAUAAAGUGGAAGUUCAGGAUUUUUUAUAUUAGGCUUAAUCUUCGAGUUAGCAGGGGUUUAGUUAGUUGGUGGAGUUAAUUUCAACAAUUUCCAUUUCGUUUGCAAGUUAUUUGUUAAUUUCAGGGCUCCAGAGUGGCUAAUCUAGCACGAGUCAAUGGCACAUAUACAGAUCUACGAACGGAUCCAACAUAGUCAAAUAAAAUCAAAACACAGAUCAUUGUUUCAAAACACCCAUGCAGUCAAAACAAUUUCACACCAAACUGCCCUAAUUCAUUUCAUUCUGCAGGACUAUUUUUUUUAGAUGCGUAAUAUGACCCCAAGAAAGAGGAGUGCUUCAGUCACUCGUUCUCACGCUGCAUUCGAGGAAGGUGGGAAGUCAGACUUUGCCCGCUCGGAAGGUACCAGUUGAGACCUUAAAGUAUUCCAAGCGAAUGUAAACGGCAAAGAUGGCUGAUAGCCACAAGUUGUUUUUUUAUUUUUGCCUUCAAAAAACAUUUUGACCUCCAGCAAACCUGACUUUUCAUAAGCGAUCAAAUAGUGGAGGCGUACUAAUGAUAUUUUUCCAGAUCAGAGGAUGGAAACUCUGACUUCCCACCUUCCUCGAAUGGAGCAUCAGUUUGCUGAGUUAACUGACAUGGCGAAAUGUGCAUUUAGAGGCUGUAGAAACAUACAGAAGAAACGGGCAUAAGAAAGUUUCCACAAAUACCCUAUGAAGAACGAGGAAAAAUGUAAUCUGGUCACUUGCUGCUGGCUACGACAUAAAAAAAAUCAGUGGUGAAAAAAAACUGAUGUGAUAUCACGCCGCCCUGCUCCUCUGCAGAGCUUCUGGAUUACAAAUGUUGCUGUUCUAAUAACUUUAUCCUGAAAACAUAGCCAACACUAUUGAUUCCAUGAGUCAUCGAUGACUUUCAUGUGUGCAUAUGUUGUUUUUUAUUGGCAUGCUAUAAUGGUGCCAUUGACUCGUGUUACCUUAGCCACACCGGAGCCCUUAAACUAACAAAUAACUUGCAAACGAAACAGAAUUUGUUGAAAUCAACUCCACCAACUAAGUAAACACUUGUUUACUCGAAGAUUAAGCCUAAUGAAGAAAAUCCUGAACUUCCGCUUUAAUUUUUUCCCUUGACUCUAUUCAAUUCAAAUGUGAUUUUCGGUGCAUUUUGUGGGAAAAUGCUCAAGAUGCCUUUAGGAAAACGGCCAAAUGCAUCCUCAUGGGGUUUGGUACGUCAGUCUUAGUGUAUCAAUGUGAAACAGUGCAGAAGGAAUGUAGGAGGGGGACCUAAUGAUGGAUGACCAAACAACAUUGCGGGAGAUCAGAUGUUCAUUUACAGCAACAGGAGAUCCCUUAGUUGCUAGCGAGGAGGUGUUGCAGACCUACUCAUCUAAGCAAAGACUUUAACUCCCCACUGAUAGGGCCACCUGCACUUCCAAAUACACCACUGUGAUGACUGCUGGGAUGUCCUCAGCUACAACCAUCUGUUCAAAAGGUACAGACUGAUAGAAGAAGAGCCUUUCUAAGCCUACGCUCUGUAUUGAAGUAAAGUAGCACGUAGCAGCCUGGGCGGGAGAGAGACUGUCUGCAGUGCAGCAGUGGACAAGAAGGAUUCCGAGCAUCUCCUCCAACAGACUGAUCAGUGUUUGGACAAGAGUCUACAACAAGAAACAGGGAAACCCUGGACCCUUGAGUUUACAUACACCCACACUCAUGGCAUCCAACACCUGAUGAAUCACUGAUGAGGAUUUCCUGAAAGUAAGCUUGUGUUGUUAUCCUUGCAUUGAAAACCAGUCAGGAAAUUAGACAGUUGACACACUAACAUACACACAUAAAGACAACAAGUAAUAAAUUACACACAUGCUCUCACGCAAAAAUGACCCGCCCUUCAUAAGUUUUCAUACAGCUGCGCACAACCAGGUGAGUUCAGCAUUGCCUGGCAUGCAUGCAUGUACAGUAGAUGGUGUAACAAUUUCCUCCCAAAUCACUGGUGACAUUAGUGUGUUUUUUUUUUUGUUCAUUAAUUCGUAAAUACACCGUUCAUUAUAAAUACCAUAGGCCUCACUACAUAUGACAAUGUGUAGAAAAUAUCAAUUUGGAAUUGUACAGUGACUCCCAUUUCUGCAUCGAGAUUUCAAGUUGCUGCAGUCAAACAGAAUUUAUUGAACAGCUCGUUAGGAAAUCUAGAGUGAGGAUGAGUUAUGAAACAGGCACAUUUGAAUACUGUCUGUUUUCCAUACGUCAAUCCUGCAACUUCUGUCAAAAUAUAAUCUCCUGGGGGGAUUCAAAAGCAUAACAGAAAGCUCCCCACCAAAAACCAUCACAUUUUGAGUAAAAUAUAUCAAGACCAGAUAACUAACUUACCUGGCAAAGUGUCUACAAGCAGGUGGCAUCUGAGAGCAUAAGCUGUUUUGUCACCAAAGGCAGCAGAAAAUCACAGUUAUGUGCAAGGUGCACUGAAUGAUAGACUUCCUGAGCACUCUGUGUGCAUGCAGUCUUCCCUAUGGCUUGCCUUUAAAUUUAUUGAUCAUAAGUGGUAGCAGAAAAGCCACCCAGGCUAGAACGGCGGUUAAAUGUCAGUGAGAUGCUGUGACCGCCACUGCGAUGAGUUGUGAGCGCACUGUUAGGAGCAUCCACUGCAGCACGUCAGAGUGGCGGUGCAGCAAGAGAGAGGAGAGGCAAGCAAUACACACAUUUGCCGCUGGUGGUUCCCUCUGCUAGGUUGGAGCUAAACUGUGACUGGAAUAUGGAUCCUGGACUUCAAAUACACAGUGAUUUCUGAAGCAGAUGGAGGGUUAUGUGGUGAGAUAGCGUGAGACCGAGGACAGAAAAAGAGCAAGAAGGGGUGAGAUGUUUGUUAUGUUACAUACUGUAUAUAGAAUAUACCACCCAUGACAUCCAUCAUCAUUCUUCAUCUAUAGGCUCAGCAGUCUUUAAAUAAUAUAUCCCAUCAUACACUUGAAUCUCAAAUAUCAUACUUGUUCUAUACCUCCUUGACAGAAAACAUGUCUUCGCAAUAUGAGGAGACAUACAGUGCCCCACCAGCAUCAUGUCCACGACACAUCCUUUUGAAUAAAAUGUCUUUAUUGCCAUUGCACCCAGUUGCCUCUCAUUUUUACGUUGGCCACACCCCUCGGUGCAAUGCAACUCGUCCUCUUCCCAUCAGCCAACUCCAAGAUGUGCUUUUGGGAAAUGUGAUUUUCAUCGAGAUCUGAACUUAAUGAUGUUUGUCAUGAUAUGGGAUGCGGCCCAUGAGUCGAUCAUAAGCCCUCUCUACUGUGGACACUGAGAGUCUUCUUCCACUUGGCCCACAUUGAAUGCAAAUGGGAGGUUCUUCCCAUCAACCGCCUGCUUGGCUUUGUCUUUUCUACAAAACCGGCACCACCCUCUCUGUUCACUAUGCUGACAAGCAGCAAGUCACUCCAUGGCUUUAAGUGCCUUCUCGCCUCAGCUAUCCUCUAACUCUCAUGACACUUUCAUCAUCUCAUCCAACUUUCGGUGCUCUCAUAGCUCUGUAACCAUAGUUUGACUUUUGUGGCAUGGGGGAAACGUUUUGAUGAUCCCAAAAUGUGAAGUCAGCAAUUGAAUUAACUUACAAGAUAUAUACUCGGUUAGUAGCUUAGCCCAUGCUCGUAAAUAAGAGUGGAACAAUAUCUCGAUACGGCAAUAUAUCGCGAUAUUUUGCAACACGAUUGGUUAUCGAUAUGAUCCCGCCAAGAAUCGAUACUUUUAUUUGACUUAUUGAGCAUACAACGUAGUAUGGUUGUUGUAAACUGCUUAUUCAAUGUAUGUAGAGCAAUUCCUUGGCGGUCCACUAGGGCCGCUCAAGAGUGGCAGUGAAGGUAAAGUGCAUGCAAGUCGUCUAGAGAAGAAGAGAGAAAGCUACAAGAGGGAUGAAAAAAAUGAAAUAUACAAAAAAUACACACGGUCCCAGGCCUCAACUGGGACCGUGUGUACUUUGGUCAGAUGAGACCAAGAUUGAGCUUUUUGGCAACAAACACUAAGUGGGUCUGGCGUGCCACGAAAGAUACGCAUGCUGAAAAGCACCUCAUACCCACUGUGAAGUAUGGGGGUGGGUCAGUGAUGUUGUGGGGCUAUUUCGCUUCCAAAGGCCCUGGGAACCUUGUUAGGGUGCAUGGCAUCAUGAAUGCUUUGAAGUAUCAGGACAUUUCAAAUCAAAAUCUGUUGCCCUCUGCCCGAAAGCUGAAGAUGGGUCGUCACUGGGUCUUUCAGAAAAACAAUGACCCUAAACAUAUGGCCAAAUCUACACAGAAAUGGUUCACCAGACACAAAAUCAAGCUCCUCCCAUGGCCAUCUCAGUCCCCAGACCUUGUUUUGUUGGCAAAAGGGGGUUGUACAAUGUAUUAACACCAGGAGUGCUAAUAAUUGUGACACACAUUAUUUGAUGUCAAAUAAUUUUUUCUUUAUGUGGGAUUUUUUCACCACUGAAUGAAUGCACUUGUAUUGAAGGUUGGAUUUUCCCCCUUUUUUUCCCAUUAAGGUCCCAUAUUAUUUGAAUUUUUAAAAAAUUAUUAGAAGCUAAAAAACACAUAUAUUUUUCAGGGGUGCCAAUAAUUAUGGAGGGCACUGUAAUAAACAUACCCUUAAGCUGAAAAAACAAUAAUUAUGCAUGGCCACCUGCAGCUGGUGGCCACCGGAUUUCUUUACUGCCAUCACUGCUUUGCUUUCAUCACCUGGGGUAAGAAAGUUUUGCAAUGUAAUUGAGUUUUUAAUUUACAUGUAAUAUUUGAUGACAUUUGGUGUUGAGUGAUAAAAAAUAAACCAGGACCCUAAAUUGGAUGGAAAUGAAUAUCAAACAAGUCACAUUAAUUUACUGAUUUAUUUGAAAUUGAGAACCACUUUCCAUCUAAUUUACUACACAAAGUGUUAUUACUGCCAUUUUUAUACAAUAAGCUAUAAAAAUGGUUUGAAUAACUUCCAAGAUAUAUAAGGUGAUGUGCAUGUUAAUUGAUGUAGCCUACAUAUUAAAAAUUAGUAAUUUAUUGCAUUUUUAAUUUCUAUACAUUGAAUUCAUGUUUUUUUUUAAUUCACUCAAUACUGCCAACACACAAAAAAAUCAGGAUUUCCACUUAAAAGUUAUUAAGUAGCUAAUAUUUUAUUGUUUUAUUUUGUUGUUUUUAAGGUGAGGAAGAAUGUGACUGACUGAGUCCGACAUCUGAAAUGCUGAAGCAGGUGGUGAAGGUACUCAAACCAAUGCUUGUGGCAACAAAGGUCAUAUACGAAGAAAAGAGACCCACCAAUUCUAUCAUUGCCCCACUCCAAGCUCAACUGCUGAAUGACACCUACAGUACUGUUAAAUUUUUAAAAAAGAUUAAAAGAAAAUUUUCAAUUUUAAAGAAAUGAAGGGUGCCAUUCAUCAUGAUACCUCCAAGCGAUAUCAGUGGUUGUGGUUUGUUCCUUCUACAUGUGCAGGUACAAAAUUUGCAGUAGAUUUAUAUUUUACAGCAAUAUUGCACAGAAAAGGUGUUACUGUUUAAUAAAUGACAAACAGCAUUUUUUUCUAUUUUGAAAUACCUAGUUUUUUAUUUCAACAGUUGUAUCGUGGAAUAUUAUAAAUCAAUUUUCUGACCAAAAUACAAUCGCUGUAUCGCGAUAUCGUGAGAUACUCGUCAUCGUGAGCCUAGUAUUGUGAAUCAUAUCAUAUCGUGAGGUACCCUGAGGUUCCCACUCCUACUUGUACAGGCAUCCCAGCUAUGUCUGUGUGGGUGUGCAUGCAUGUGCGAAAUGAAUCCUCACUCACCGUGGUGAGUUUGAAAAUGGCGGCAGGCAAAACAGGAGACGGCAUCCUUUUUGACUUAAUAUUCCAGCCAGGGAUAUUUAUAAUCAUACAGUGAAAAUGAGCGGGGUUUUUUUUUCCCCAUUAUUUUUUAGGGGAAUUUAAAUCAGGUUAGUUAGGACAGCUAUGCUUUUGGCCAAGGACGUCUUCCAUUGAAUAUGGUACGCCUGGUGGUGGCUCUGUUGUACAAUUUGCAUCUAUAGAGGGACAAACUGAAACUCCACUCAUCAUUCUGGCGGCGCUCUCUGGCGUUUCAUUGUCCACAUCUUCAAUCGUUGGUUCUUACUCAGUAGUUGUUGUCGCUUUUGAAAGCUAUGUUUGAAAAAAAAAAAAAAAAGCGUAUAUCCAUCUUGUUUCUUCUGUCCUCAAGUGGUUUUGGCUAAGCAAAGCAAAUUACUGUUUCUAAGGUGCUAGUCAAAUGAUCUGUUUGAUAAUUUUGACCCAUUAUAAAAAUUUUGUUUCCCCAUUUCAUUCAUUUUUGUUGUUUGUUUUAUUGCUUUACAACUUUUAUAGACAACAUUUUACCGGCAAAGUGUUAAUUUUAAAAUUCAUAUACUGGAAAGUCAAAUACUUGCAAUGAUACUUUCGAGCACCCCCCCCCCCUUUUUUUUUUUUAAUAACAUUUUUUAAA